UACAUGUAAAAAAAAAAUAUCAGAAUAACAAGACUGACUCCACAGAGCAUUACAUUUUACGCACCUAAAAACAAUAAAACUUUUUUUGUCUUAAAGAAGGAAAAAAUAGAAAAAGAAAAGGCAUAGAAGGAAGAGUAUGUUCCAUGCAACCGGAAGCUUAAGACUAAAAUCCAAAGCAAUGUUUUUUCUUUAGUAAAAGACAAUAACUCAGUUCAAGUCCCAUAUUUCUGUUCAAUCCAGUCAUUAGUCCAUCCAUAUAAUAUACAUCAAACUUGGCUUUGCAUUCUGUUCACCGAUGGUUAUGCAAAUGAACGCAAAUUGUUCUGUCCUUGCUCUGUCAGUGGUUUUUCUUUUAAAUGCUGUGUGCUAUAGAGCUGCAAACGAGUAUAUAUCAGCAAUUGGAGAUCCAGGAAUGAGAAGAGAUAGUCUGAGGUUGGCAAUAGAGUCAUGGAACCAAUGCAAUGAGGUUGGUGAUGAAGUCCCUAAUAUGGGCAGCCCAAGAGCUGCAGAUUGCUUUGACGUUUACAAGGGUUCACAACAAUCAGAAGAAAAGAAUUGCUCCUUCUGCAGUUUGCUGCCAUACAUGCUAGUGCACAGAGUCACAGAGAGAGACAACAAGUUAGGUGUUGGAGACCCUUUUCUUGGAUUGCAACCAAAGUCACUUAAUGAUGUAGAUCUUUAUGCUGCAGAGAAAGAACUCUACUUGGGCUCAAAAUGUCAAGUUGAAGAUACUCCAAGUCCAUGGCAAUUUUGGAUGAUCAUGCUUAAAAGUGGCAACAUGGAUACUUAUGCAGCCAAGUGUCCGAAAAAUGGCCAGAAAGUAGGACCUUUUGGCUCUGAUCCUAAUUUUCCUUGCUUUGGACAAGGGUGCAUGAACCAACCAUUUAUUUAUCAUGAUUAUACUACAUUAAAAGGGCCUAAUAGGACUACUCUCAAAGGUAGGUUUUAUGGGUCAUGGGAUUUAGAUGCCGACUUGAGAAAAGGAUUGCUGGGUAAUAAUUCGUAUCAUUCUGUGACUUGGGAGAAGGAACUUGGAAAGGGAAGUUGGGCAUUUCAUCAUGUCUUAAGGACUUCAACAAAGUACCCGUGGUUGAUGCUUUACUUGAGAUCAGAUGCUACAUUUGGCCUUUCUGGAGGAUAUCAUUACCCAACAAGAGGAAUGUCCAAAAUUAUACCAGAAUCACCAAACUUUAAAGUGAGGUUCACUUUGAAUAUAAUCAAAGGUGGGGGACCUAGCAGCCAAUUCUACCUAAUGGACAUAGGAAGCUGUUGGAAGAACAAUGGACAACCUUGUGAUGGCAAUGUAACUUCAGAUGUUACUCGAUACAGCGAAAUGAUUAUAAAUCCUAAUAUAAGCUCAUGGUGUCAUCCCAGUAACCUUAAUGUGUGCCCACCUUACCAUACAUUUUCCAAUGGAACACGUGUCCAUCGCAACGACACUGCUCACUUUCCUUAUGCAGCCUAUCACCUGUAUUGUUCUCCAGGGAAUGCAGAACAUCUUGAAGUGCCUUACAGUUUGUGCGAUCCAUAUAGCAAUCCUCAGCCUCAGGAGAUAUUACAGAUUUUGCCUCAUCCUGUUUGGGGUGAGUAUGGAUAUCCAACUAAACAAGGUGAGGGUUGGAUUGGUGAUCCAAGAACAUGGGAGCUUGAUGUUGGCAGGUUGUCACACUCACUUUACUUUUAUCAGGAUCCUGAAACUCCUCCAGCUAGGAGGCAAUGGAUGUCUAUUGAUUUAGGAACAGAGAUUUUUAAAGCCCCUGACCAGGUUGCGGAAUGGACCGUCAGUGAUUUUGACGUACUUGUACCUAAGCAAUGACGAAGAGACGUGGUUCAAGCCAAAUAAUGGUUAAUUUCAAGGAAGAUAGAUCAGCUUCAACCCAAAAGAUUAAGGCGCUAUUAGAUAAAGAAAGGAUCCUGAAGUGUUCCCAUGUUUUCAGGGAAAUAAAUAUCUGUGCAGAUUGGCUUGCACAUAUAGUGGCCUCUAUUUCACUGGGUACUCAGGUUUAUGAUAGCCCUCCUGCAGGAAUUCUUUGCUUGGGCGCCUUAGAAAUGCUGUGACUUGAGUUUUUUUUUUUGGGCCCAAACCUUUCUCUUGUACCGAAAAAAAAUAAAAAGAAAAUAAGGAAAUAUCAGAGAGACAAACAAGAGAAUCACUUUCACUGUUGGUCAAAAAAAAAAAAAAAAAAGGAAUAAUCUUUGCGUGUCAAUUUUUAAGAAGCAUUUAUUAUUCAGAAUCAACAACUGCCUGGCAGCUUCUUGUUGUCUAGAAAUUAAACAUCCAUAUUUUCAUAUCGGUCCGACGUGAACAGCAUUUAGUUGAAGGAUAUGAAUGUGCAUAAAAUCCUUAGCUUAAUUCUAUCUACAACCCUCAACUGUGCAAUUA